CCAUGCUAAGUGAUAAAUACAGAUGAUUACACUAUUCCUAAUAACACUAUUCCUAAUAGGUUAUAACCCGAUAACUUUUUAAAUAUAUAGGGGGCACCUUAAUAUAACUAUAUUGACAAUAAUAUGGCGUAACACAUGGGAGAAGGAUGUCGAUGAGGCAAUGAAUCCGUAAUGUGGCUAAGAGCCAUGUCGAUUAUGGAGAAGCGCCCAUGGGUCAGAGCCAUGAGGAUUAGUCUUCGGCAUAAACUUGUAAACAAAUAUCGUGUGUCUCUAUAUCAUCAUUAAUUUGGUGUAUCUGAGUUUUUUUAAAAAAAUUUUUAGAGAAGGAUAUUUUUACUUUUUUUAUUUCAGAAACGCUAGGAAAUUAGCCCAAGUAGAGGACCUAGCCCCUCAAAUACCAAAUAUGAAAUUCAUGCUCCUACGGAGAUUUGAACCCAGGACCUUGGGUGUUACUCAGGUCUCACUGUAACCACUAGGCUACAUGCCCUUUCACGAUAUAUCUGAG
rnacentral:lncRNA from 1 species